UUGUUGUUGCUAUUUCUUGGGCCGCUCCCGCGGCAUAUGGAGGUUCCCAGGCUAGGGGUUGAAUCAGAGCUGUAGCUACCGGCCUACACCAGAGCCACAGCAACGCGGGAUCCGAGCCGCGUCUGCAACCUACACCACAGCUCACGGCAACGCCGGAUCGUUAACCCACUGAGCAAGGGCAGGGACCGAACCUGCAACCUCAUGGUUCCUAGUCGGAUUCGUUAACCACUGCGCCACGACGGGAACUCCUAAAAAAUACUUAAUUAAUAAAGAUAGCAGGUUCUGACCAACCAGAAUGGAUGUGGGCCAGAGCACUGGGGCAGACACUGGAGGCCUCCUGCCAGGCUGGAUCCUGGGGAGAUCCCACAAUGGGCCCCAGGCAGCCUGGCCAUCGGAGCAGCUGCUUAUCAACCAGGACAGAACAAUUUUAGUAGCUGACACAUUGGUACACAUGACCCGUAGGAACCAGCUGAAUAUCUGCCCUAUUUGGAGCCCUGGUCUUGUUCUCCUAGCUUCCUUUCCACCUAAUAGAGAUUGGAUGUCCUUGCACAGCACCCUGAGUGUUUCAUCUCAUAUCACCCCAGAUUUGGUUUUCUGUUUACUUGUCUGUCUCCUACUGUUGUAAAAACCUUGAGAAAAAGGUCUUUAUUUUCUUUGUGUUUUUUGGCACCUAGUGCUUUACCUCUGCCUCGGGGUGGUGGGGCAGGGGCAGGGCUGGGAUCCUGGAAGAAGUGGUAUCUGAGAGGGGCUUGUGUGGGAUAAAAUUCAGAGAUUCAGAGAGGGGAGAACUGGUUUUGCAAGCCAUGGCAAUAGAAUAAAAGGAGCUCCCGGGUGGCUUUGUCACUGCUAUGGCUUGAGUUCAGUCCCUGGCCUGGGAACUUCCACGUGCUGCAGGCAUGGCCAAAAAUUAAAUAAAUAAAUAAAUAAUUUUUUUUUAAAUAUAGAAAGAGGGCUGGGAAGUGGGAAGUAAAGGCCAUUGUAGAAAGAGGGAGUACUGACACCCAGCAGCACAAAGGAAGGGUGGUAGCAGGGAUCAAAUCUGAAAAGGUACUCAGAGACCAGACUGCCACAUGACAUCAGUGACCAGGGACAUUGAAAUUUAUCUUGUAAACAAGGGAGAACAGUGGAAAAUUUUAGAGCACAGGCAAAUUGUGCCUGCAGGUGUGUGACAUAUUAAGUGGGAGCCUCUAAGCAUCAGGGCCAGUUUUAGGAUUAUCUCAAUGGUCUAGGCAGGAAGCAGCAUCAUAGCUUGACCCUGGCAGGUAAUGAUGGUGGGAAUGGAGAGGACAGUUUGGAUGUAGAAGACAUUCUGAAGUAUAAUUAACAGCCCUUGGUAAAUGAUGGGAAGCCCAAAUAAUGGGGAAUCAGGAUCAAAGAUAAUGGCAAAGCUGCGAGCCUUGAUUCCAAAGAGAAUGAUGUUGCUCUGAACAUUGUGAGAGAAGCCCCAGGUUGGGAUUGGAUUGGGAGGAAAAUAAGGGCUACCAUAAGGGCAUUUGGAUCUGAUAGACUAGACAGAAAACCAAGGGCACUAGUUAACAGCAGCACUGGAACUUACACGCUGGACAGUAAAGCCAGCACUCUUUCUAUCUCAGCAAUGUAGACAGGCCAGGUAUUUUGCAUUUUUAUGACAAAUCAUCCUUCCUUAUUCAACACUGUAUCUAGAUAUAAACAAGGGAUUCUGAUAGAGAUAUUGAUUUGAAAUAUACCUAUGACCAUUAAUAUAGGAGGGGGACCAAAAAGGUGAAUUAGAAAAGAGGGAGAAGAAAAUAUAGUUACAAAGCGAUGAGAAGGUGGCCUUUAUUUAGAAUGUACUUUUCUUUCAAGUUUCAUAUUUAAUACUGUGGUAUGUUUGGUCUGAAACAGGUUACCAGGAGGCAAGCUCUACAGGCAACACGUCCAGUCUGCUUCGCUAGCUCCCGGGAUCAUGGUGGGUUGGAACUAUAAGCAUAUGUCCACGGGGAAGCUGUUCCUUACCUCACCCUUUUUUCAUCUUUCUCAGUGGCAGUCUAGCAAAGGUUCCAGCUCAACCUCCAAUGCUUCAGGGAACAUGGGGGCAAAAACAAGUAAGAAACAGGCAAUAAAAGAGCAGUAGGAGGAAAGCAUGGAUUUUAGCCAUAGAGAAGACAAACCCACUCUCUUUUGUUCAAAAGGUACUCCUUGAUGGGGAAAAAAAUUAGGUAUAUUGAAAGAAAAGCACAUGAAGGAGGAAUUCUGGUGUUUUCAUCUAGAUCACUCAGCCUCUUGUUCUUAAAUUCCCCUGUGAGCUGUUUCUAAAAGCCAGAAAGUUGCUUCCUAGAAUAAAAGGAACAAAAAUAAGAGAGGGAAAGGGGGUGAGAUAAUUAGGGGAGGGGACACAUUCUUAUAAAUUUUAUUCUUGAACUCUGAAGUGUGAAUAAUAAUAUAAGGAGACAGGACACUUUGAACCAACUCUAAUGGAAAAAAUGAAAAUCAUUAAAAAAGAAAAAAAUUACAUGAGAAUAUGAAAAUAUGAGUAAAUAUGGAUAUUAUGACCUCCUUUGGAAAUUGGGCUCAUACGGUUUAAAGUUGUUUUAAUAAUCUUGCGGUUUAUUCUUUAAUGUAUUUUCCAAAUUGCUCUAGAAAGCCUCAAGGCACAAGUACAAUGAGAUCAUUCAGCAAAGCUCUUUAAACAGUUGAUAAUAGUAAUAAAAUGAAAAGUGCCUGCAUCUAAUCCUAACCCACAUUAAGAUAAUUCUUUGCCUUUCUAUGGCAUUUGCCUAGAAGUGACUGACCUCUGGGUUAAGGAUUAAUUAAAUCCCACAAGUGGAGUGAAGGGCAAAAUUCCAGACAAGUACAAUUAAAUCCUGUUAUAAAGCACCUUUUAAAAUCACAGAUUGGGUUACACCUGGGUCAGAUUAUGCCCUUGGUGUACAUGAGGGUAUAAAACGCAUCUUUCACUCUAUAACCUGAACAUUUAUAACACAAGGUCAUCUUUUGUCCAGGAGGAUGAUUAAAUGACUGGCUCAAGAACAUUUUGCUUUUGUUUUCUUCCUUUAUCCCAUGCUGCCUCUUAGCCCCUAGCCCCGAGCGGAUGUCCAUCUAAUCCUACAUUUAAGGCAUUAUAGCAUUUCACACAGUGAUACAAUAAUUAACAUCCCAAACUCAACUGCUUCUCAUUUUUCCAAUCUGUCUUCAUUGAAAGAACUGAACAAAAUGUGUCCUAUGUGCUGGAGGAAAAGCUAUUUCAACCAAGCAUCAGGUGACGGGUCUUCCUGCCUUCAGUGCUGGAUUUUAUUUAGUUAUGUCAUAUUUCUGGAAACUGUAUUUUUUUUGAAGAUAUAAUUCCCCUCUAAUUGGAACUUGCAGUCUUCAGGGUAUAUAUCUUCUAGGAGCUACUGAAAUUUCCAAGCAGGAAAUGACCAAAUAUCCAUCAGAUGGUAAAUGCUGGUGCAUUGAGUCCCCUCUUUUCUCUAUUACAUUUGAACAGGAACCUUUCAAUGGAACACAGUCCCCUGGGAUAACUCUGCCUUUUUUUUCAGCCACCCCCAGGCCUUCAUGUCUCGUUUCCUCUCUUCCAAGUUCAAUAUGACCCCCAUUUCAUUGAUCAGUUAGACUCCAUUGAUGUAAUGUGCCAUGUACAGAACACUCCUUUUAGUAAUGGCAAAAUCAAAGACCACCCUUGCCCACCUGGGUUAGAUACAAAGCCUAACUUUAGUGGAAAGACAUGACAAUGUGUAAAUAAGCAACAGAAAUCACCAAUAUGGCCUAGAAUGGCUACAAAUCAGCUCUGACUAAGCCAACCAAAGUGAAGGAUUUAGAGAGGGGUUUUCUGAAGUCUUCCAGAAGAUUGAAAGCUUGAGGACAUGUUUUAAAUAUUAAAACUUAAAGGCAUGAAGAGAGUGGCUCAGUGAAAAGAGUGUAUGCUAUGAGCAGGGAAGAAUCUUCAGAAUGACACAAAGCCCAAGGAAGUGAACUGCAGUGGGCAGGCAGAGCUUUGCUUGGCUGGAAACGAUAAGAAUCCAAGACAGAUAAGCUUUGCCCAUAUCCUCUCUAGAGAGUUGAUAAGCAACCAUAUCCUUGAAAGACUAACUGCUCUUGUGCUGUGUUGCAUUUGGUAUUGUAUAUUAUAGAUGUGCAGACCCUUCUUUGCACUCAAAUGAUAAUAAUGUAUAAUACUUCCACAUUGCUAAAGAAUGAAGCUAAUUGUCAUAUCCCUCAUCUAUUUCUUACAGGAACUACAGAAGUGACUUGCUGUCCAUAGAAGUUUGUAAGUGAGUAAGGAGCUGCUAUGGAGAUGAUUCUAGAAAGCCCCUACCUUCUACAAGAACAUAUCAGGUUAAGAAAGAUCCACACUACAGCAUCCAAAGGUUAGACAUUGGAAGAGCUAUGCAUGCUAUUGCAAACCUGAAUUCAUGUUUCAAUGGAAAUGAAACCUCCAUUCAGCCCUGCUCACCCUACAGCCAGAGCACAGACCCACUUCACAGAUUGAGCCCAUAGAAUUCUCCAGAACACUCAGAGACAACCCUUCUUUAUCACUUUCUCUUUAAAACAGUCUCUUACAUAAACCACAUCACCACAUCCUGCUUGGAACUGAAGAUCUCUUCUCCUUUGACCCCUGCCUUCUUCCCCACUAAUGCUCCAGCUAGCAAUGUCCAAACUAGCAGAGCAGACACCCCGGAACCCCAAGGAACCUCCUUUCUCAGGGUUCUGGUCCAUUUACCUUACCUUAAAACCACAGCCUUAUCAGCGGCCCUAGAAGCUCAGGGCUCCACAUGAGGGCAUUGCCUCAGGUCCCCUGGCUUGUUUUCUAGGGUAUAAAACAAAUGCCUGCUGGCUUUCAUCUACUGUCAGAGAAUGUUCUCUUGGCUCGUCUUCACUCAGACUAAAAGCAGGAGAG
rnacentral:lncRNA from 1 species